ensembl:lncRNA CASC15 cancer susceptibility 15
AAUCCUUGAGGCGGCCAUUUUGCUGAAAGGCAGUUAAAGAAACAGUCUGUCAGCCUGGUCUGAUUCUUGCUGAAAAAGCGUCAUUUCUGUACCCAAUGUGUGAAUCAUGGCAAUACAGUGAAAGACAGUGAUUUACUGCUUUUGAGGGCGUGCAUGUAUAUGAUUAACGGAUGGAAGUGCAGGACUCCAAGAUUUACUUCCUUCCCUUUCCAGCAGAAUUACCUGAGACGAGUAAAAUCUACUGGUGGAGUCACUCCAUUAUUCUUAUCUGUGGAGAUCUAGAUCUUGAUUUGAAAGUUUCUGAGAAAAUCUUCAGCUCAGACUUGAGGGUCAACUUUACCAGCUGAAGGAUCUGCAUUUACUGCUCAACCACAUCUAAUUUGAUGUCCUCUGCAGAUUUAAAAUGUGUGCCUUCUUUUCCGUCACCAAGUCAUCCCUGGGUUACUACUGAACAUCCUUCUCAAUUCCCCCCGACCCAUGGAUGGCUGUUCUCCAUUGUCUGUUUCACCAGAUGUCCUCAAAACAAACAGACAGAAGAAGGAAGUGGCUAAUGGAGCUGUGGAGUCCAAGUGUGACUGCCAAGAGGAAUCCAGCAAAGCCAAAAAGCCCAAGCAUGUAGCCCUGCCCGAAGCACGCCACACGCAUGGAAAACCCAGAGGAAAUGAGUGAGGAUCAAUGGGAAGAAGAGAGCCAGCCAGGAAGUUGAAGAUUUGUCCAGGAGCAGAUAGCUGAAGAGAGAGAGAGAGAAGAGAGAACGGCUUACAGCUCAGGUCCUCUCUCCAUGCUUAGGAACCACUACAAAUGCUACUGCCUUGAGUCUCAUUUUGUUUCCCUCUGGAAACCACAUGUGUACCUUGUUUGCAACAGUAUGGGUAUGGAUGUUUUGGUAGUUCUUACACAUUUAUUUUAAAAUUUAAAGAAGUAGUGCCAUAAAGCUUUAUCAGGAUGUAUUUAAAAUGAAAAUAGUCUCUUGUUAUCUAGCAUGCAACUGAUUCUUUCAAUUUGGUUUGGUUAGUCAGAAUCUUACCAGAAGUCUGUCCAGGUGAUAGGUUAGUUGAGAGCAUCAAGACCAACCAAAAUAAAACAAAAACAAUAGCC